AGGAAGGACACCGUGUACAUUACGUCGUGUACAUGUCAUGAAAAGAGACUUGACAGAGCUGGAUAGUAUUGGUGAGGUUUUGCACCUGGGGGUUGUCUCAAAUUAAUUGAGUUUUGUCUCGAGGACUGUUCAAAUAUUUGUGGUUGCAGACUGCAACUAUUUGUGGCUACACGCUGUGCAAAUCAGUCCAUUGAUGCUCAGAAGGUGUUUGGGAGGGGUUUCCAAACGGUGGUUUCAUUCAGAGUAAAAGCUGUAAAUCUUUCAAAGUAAUUCUCUUUUCUCCUUACGUAUUGUAUGUGAUUACUUGGUGUAAUCUGUUUCAAGCUACUCCAUGAUGUGCCAUGGAAUUCCAUUACAGUGUGAAAUUGGAACAAGGAUCAGUAACAGCAGUAAUCGGCAAAUAGGGCACUGGCAGAGGGGUGAUUUAUAAGAACAAUAACCCUAAGCUUAUGGCUGCUUUCAUUUUGCUGUAUAGAAAACAAUAACCAAUUAACCAUAGUUGACAUUGAUUUUAAGAUAUUAUAUCCCUUUUUGUAAUGUGAUGAAUGUGAGGUUUUUGUAGCAGAACAAUGAACACAGAACAAUCAAAAGGCUUUUUGUACAAUUGAGCAUUUGAACAUCUGCUUGAUCCCUUGCAAAAUAGCAUCACAAAAAUAGACUUACAUAGUGCUCACGCUUUGGUAACAAGUGAAGUCCU